UGCCAGCAGUCGCGGUUAAACCAAGAAAUUCAGUCAUUCUUUAUAUGGUAAAAAGACAGUUAAGCAAAAGAAAAACCAUAGCACCCUUAAUGCAUGGGUAAAAUCUACACAUUAAGAGUUACUUUAUAAGUGGUUCAUUUUAUAAUGCUGAGUCUGUGACAGCUUUAGGGGAAACUGGGAUUGGAUACCCCACUAUUUUUAGUCAUAAAUUGAUUUUAAGUCUACCAGAGUACUACGAAUAAAAAGUUUAAAACUCAAAGGGCUUGGCGGUGUUUUAGACCUCUCAGGGGAACCUGUCUCAUAAUCGACAAUCCACGUCAGACCUGACCUUUAAUGGCAAAUCAGCUUGUAUACCGUCGUCGUCAGGUAACUUCUUAAAAUAUAGUAGUUAGCUUGAUAAUCUUAUUAAUUGAAACGUCAGAUCAAGGUGCAGUUAAUAUAAAGGGGAGGAUGGGUUACAAUUAUAUAUUCAUAAUUACGAAUGACACUAAGAAUAAAAUGUUUAAAGGAGGACUUGAAAGUAAUUUUAAUUAUAUAAGUAAAAUGAAUAAGGCUCUGAAACGUGCACACAUCGCCCGCCACUCU
rnacentral:rRNA from 1 species